CUGUCAGCUGAGCCGAGCUGUCAGUGUCAAUGUCAAACAAUCCCAAAAAUUCCAUCACAGUAUUUUAUUUUUCAACUUAAAAGAGAGAAAAUCCUUGUUCUUUGUUCCCUGAAGUUGAUUGUAGAACACCAUUAUGAGCAACAAUGAGAAGAAACGCAUCCCCGACGCGCCGGUGCCGGCGGCGGCCCCAGGGAACCUGCUGUCGAGCGUGGCGCCUCCUUCACAGCUUCCCAACUUUGUAACCACCAGUCCGGCACCUGUACCUGUUGCUGUGGUACCACAGCUGCCGCCAGAGUUGGCAGCUACUCUAGCUCCCGCUCCACCGGUGUCAAUUGCCCCUACACCACCCGUUGCUCCCACAUCAGUGCCUAUUGCUCCUGCGAUAAUCCCUGCUGUACCAGUGCAGCCUGAUUCACCUGACAGAUUUUGCCCUGCUAUACCACCAAGUAAAGGAGAACCCAUGCUGUCAAUAAGGUCUCCAGAGGAUUCCCAAAAUACACAGUCGCCUGAUUCCUUGCCAGAUACGAUGUCUGAAGUGGACAAACUUGGCGACAUAAUGCCGGGCACUGGCCUAUUUACCUGGGUAAAGGGAGCGGUUGCGUCUGGAGGGAUUCUGCAGCGCGUGGCUGAGAAGGCGAAGAACUCUGUGGACUCUAUGAUUACUACACUCGACCCACAGAUGAAGGAGUACCUCAACAGCGGCGGCGACGUGAAUAUAGUGGUAGCUUCGGACAAGGACGUCAAAAUAUCGCCCGUUCGAGAGGCGUUUCAAAUUGUUUUCGGCAAAGCAACUGUCACAGGCUACGAGGCCCAGAGCGAUGUAACGGCAGCACAACCAGUAGGUUACGCCGCAGCCUAUGCGGCCGCCAAGCAGCGCAUCGCUGAAAUCCGCUCAGCACAUACUGAAGUGCAUAACAACAUACCUAUUGUAGCUGUCGAGGGCUUCUUGCAUGAGGCAGUUGCUGACAGAUGGUACGCGAUAGACCUGCUAGUCCUCUCCCAGCCUUCCCUCGGAAUCGAACUGCAACUACAGUCCCAAGGCUGCCCAGUGCCCGCGGCCGCGGUCGCAGCGGCACGUGCCAACACGCCUGAAGACUACGCACAUAUACAGACAGGGUUCAGCGUCACUGUGCCAUCUGUCAUGGCCGACAGUUUACAGGUGCCACACACACAAUGGCAUGAAGCGAGCACUGGUGUAAGCCGCCGUGAACUUCUAUUGUUAGCCGCGAAGUCACUAGCAGGCUCUUAUAAGAAGCUGCUGGCGGUGUCCGCUGCGGAAAUAUGAACGAUUUGCUCCCGGAAUUUUGACUGAUGUACCUACCUAGGAUACCAGACCGUAUUUGUAUAUUACGCUAAUGAAAUCUAUUAGGAGUAUACUUAGAUUAAGCUUGUUACGUGAUAUAAAUAAUACACAACACACCUAUUGUAUAAUUAUGAUGGUCCUAAUCUCCUCUAGGGCCUGAAAAAAGAAAUUGGCGUUCUGUGCCUAAAAGUUCUUUGCAUAAGAGAUCAUUUUCUGAUGGGAAACCACAUAUUGGUUCGUUAUUUAGAAAGGUAAAAAAAAAAGUUUGUCUGUCACAUUGCUAAAUGUCUCGAGAACUACUUAGACUUUUUUUAGUAAUAGGUGGUUUUCAAUGGCCAAAAUGGUUUUUGUGCUUGAAGGACGUUUUUAUCAGAAAUUAGUCCUUAUCGCAGAUACAUCAUAAGGACCCUUUGGGCAUGUAAUACCACAUGUAAUAUAGCUACUUAUAAAUGCAAUU
rnacentral:misc_RNA from 1 species